rnacentral:rRNA from 1 species
AGAGUUUGAUCCUGGCUCAGGAUGAACGCUAGCUACAGGCUUAACACAUGCAAGUCGAGGGGCAGCAUGGUCUUAGCUUGCUAAGGCCGAUGGCGACCGGCGCACGGGUGAGUAACGCGUAUCCAACCUGCCUUACACUCUUGGACAGCCUUCUGAAAGGGAGAUUAAUACAAGAUGUUAUCAUGAGUAAGCAUUUUCGCAUGAUUAAAGGUUUACCGGUGUAAGAUGGGGAUGCGUUCCAUUAGAUAGUAGGCGGGGUAACGGCCCACCUAGUCUUCGAUGGAUAGGGGUUCUGAGAGGAAGGUCCCCCACAUUGGAACUGAGACACGGUCCAAACUCCUACGGGAGGCAGCAGUGAGGAAUAUUGGUCAAUGGACGAGAGUCUGAACCAGCCAAGUAGCGUGAAGGAUGAAGGUUCUAUGGAUUGUAAACUUCUUUUAUACGGGAAUAAACGGAUCCACGUGUGGAUUUUUGCAUGUACCGUAUGAAUAAGGAUCGGCUAACUCCGUGCCAGCAGCCGCGGUAAUACGGAGGAUCCGAGCGUUAUCCGGAUUUAUUGGGUUUAAAGGGAGCGUAGAUGGGUUGUUAAGUCAGUUGUGAAAGUUUGCGGCUCAACCGUAAAAUUGCAAUUGAUACUGGCAGUCUUGAGUACAGUUGAGGUAGGCGGAAUUCGUGGUGUAGCGGUGAAAUGCUUAGAUAUCACGAAGAACUCCGAUUGCGAAGGCAGCUUACUAACCUGUAACUGACAUUGAUGCUCGAAAGUGUGGGUAUCAAACAGGAUUAGAUACCCUGGUAGUCCACACGGUAAACGAUGAAUACUCGCUGUAGGCGAUAUACAGUCUGCGGCCAAGCGAAAGCAUUAAGUAUUCCACCUGGGGAGUACGCCGGCAACGGUGAAACUCAAAGGAAUUGACGGGGGCCCGCACAAGCGGAGGAACAUGUGGUUUAAUUCGAUGAUACGCGAGGAACCUUACCCGGGCUUAAAUUGCAACCGAAUAUGGCGGAAACGCUAUAGCUAGCAAUAGCGGUUGUGAAGGUGCUGCAUGGUUGUCGUCAGCUCGUGCCGUGAGGUGUCGGCUUAAGUGCCAUAACGAGCGCAACCCUUGCCGAUAGUUACUAACAGGUUAUGCUGAGGACUCUGUCGGGACUGCCAUCGUAAGAUGUGAGGAAGGUGGGGAUGACGUCAAAUCAGCACGGCCCUUACGUCCGGGGCUACACACGUGUUACAAUGGGGGGUACAGAGGGCUGCUACCACGCAAGUGGAUGCCAAUCCCAAAAACCUCUCUCAGUUCGGAUUGAAGUCUGCAACCCGACUUCAUGAAGCUGGAUUCGCUAGUAAUCGCGCAUCAGCCACGGCGCGGUGAAUACGUUCCCGGGCCUUGCACACACCGCCCGUCA